AUAGGCUAAUAGUAGUAGUGGAUAUAAUGGAAUGUAUAAGGGACUGUAAUAUUGAUAAAAAGCCUCACGGCAGUAGCAACACUUUCUUCGAGGGAAAGGACCUCCACAGUAGCGAUGAACAGUAGAAUAUUCCAGAUGAUAGGUUAAAUCUCUUACAGAGACCUUAUGUACUAUAAUAUGCAUUUUACUAAAAAGUCCUUAAUCUAACUGGGCUAAAGGCCCUUACAGUUUACUUAAAAGGAUCAACUCUUCUGCAGCUCAUGGCCCAUACGGCCCAGCUUCUUUCUUAUUUGGUUCGGCCCACCAGCAGGCCUCUCCACCAGCAGCCCACGACAUAAGCUGAACUCUAGUCUUCAGUUCUUCGUGUGCCCUAAGUUCUGUCUGUUCCUCGUGUGCCAUGCCUCAAGCCGCCGACCUCCCUUCUGCUCUUAACUUGCCCAGCCGUGUGACAACUCCCCUUUCCUUCAGAAAACCUUGCCCACAAGGUGGGGAAAAUCUUCACAAAGCUGAUGGUACAUCUCCCAGGAAGCUUCCUCUGCAGAUUGCCCAUGCCAACGGACCAAAACCUCCACUACCGGAGGAAGGGUUGCUAUGGGUAAAGCCCCUUGAUUGAGUCUCGGUUUCAGCUGUGAAACGUGAAACACGUUAUGGAUCUGUGCAGUGGUUGGAAGCUUCAAACGGUAUGCCACCUCUCCGAUUCGCUGCUCUACCUCGAACGGUCCAUAAAACCUUGGACUGAGUUUGAGGUUCUGCCGAGUAGUGAGGGAUGAUUGCCGAUACGGUUGGAGCUUCAAAAAUACCCAAUCCCCCACUUGGACCCACAGCUGCUCACGGUCACGCAAGGUAACCUCUACUUCUUCUAACCUUGAGGUUCCUGGUACAUAGCUUGUUAGUUUUGGAGGUUUGUAGCCAUACAAUGCUUCAAAUGGCGUAAGUUUGAUAGAUGCAUGCAUGCUUGAGUUGUAACACCACUCGGCUAAUUCAAUCCAGUGAGACCAAUUCUUAGGUUUAUCCCCAACAUAAGACCUUAGGUAGUUCUCAACCCACUUGUUAACAGCCUCUGUUUGCCCGUCUGUUUGAGGGUGGUAAGCUGUGCUAAAAGCCAGCUGCACUCCCUGCAAAGAAAAUAAUUCCUUCCAAAAUCUACUUGUGAAAGUGGAGUCUCGGUCGGAAACAAUUGAGCUUGGCAUACCAUGUAGCUUGAAUACAUGUUUCAUAAACAGUUUCGCUACAUCCUUAGCUGUGUAGGGGUGACAGAGUGGUACAAAGUGAGCAUAUUUUGUAAAUCUAUCCACAAUAACCCAUAAGGAGUUGAAUCUCUCAGACCUAGGCAACCCAUCGACAAAAUCCAUUGUGAUAUCGGUCCAUGGUUUUGAGGGAAUGGGUAGGGGCUGUAAAAGUCCACUAGGUAGAGUAUUAUCUACCUUCAUCACUUGACAUGUGUCGCAAUUCUUUAAGAAAGUCUUCACAUCCGCUUUCUGUCCAGGCCAAUAAAAAUCUCUUUUUAGCCGGUGUAAGGUUUUAUCAAAUCCCAUGUGACCACCCAUAGGGCUGCUAUGAAUUAACUCCAGUAGUUUCUGAAUUAACCCUUGAUUAGCUGGAAUGUACAACCUGUUUUUGUACAGCAUCAUACCAUUCUUGACAGUAUAGGGACUAGUGAGUUCCCCUUUUUGGUGCCUUUGCCAUAAUUCUUGCACUUUUGAGUCUUCUCCAUAAUGCCCCUUGAUAUCCUCUAUCCAGUCCCAAGUUGGUAAUGAAAUGAGUGACAAGGUGAUCUCAGCUUCCUCUCCUUGCCUAGACAAGGCAUCGGCUACUACAUUCUCCUUUCCUUUUUUGAACUCCACGACAAAGUCAUAGCCCAAUAGCUUAGAUAUCCAUUUUUGCUGCAUGGGGGUUCCUAUUCGUUGAUCGAGUAGGAAUUUAAGACUUUGAUGGUCAGUCUUAAUCACAAAAGCCUGCCCCAAUAAGUAGGGCCUCCAUCUCUGCACUGCUGAAACUAGUGCUAACAACUCCUUCUCAUACGUAGACACUCC